rnacentral:rRNA from 1 species
AUUGAACGCUGGCGGCAGGCCUAACACAUGCAAGUCGAACGGUAGCACAGAGAGCUUGCUCUCGGGUGACGAGUGGCGGACGGGUGAGUAACGUCUGGGAAACUGCCCGAUGGAGGGGGAUAACUACUGGAAACGGUAGCUAAUACCGCAUAACGUCGCAAGACCAAAGUGGGGGACCUUCGGGCCUCCCACCAUCGGAUGUGCCAAGACGGGAUUAGCUAGUAGGUGGGGUAAUGGCUCACCUAGGCGACGAUCCCUAGCUGGUCUGAGAGGAUGACCAGCCACACUGGAACUGAGACACGGUCCAGACUCCUACGGGAGGCAGCAGUGGGGAAUAUUGCACAAUGGGCGCAAGCCUGAUGCAGCCAUGCCGCGUGUAUGAAGAAGGCCUUCGGGUUGUAAAGUACUUUCAGCGGGGAGGAAGGCGGUGAAGUUAAUAGCUUCACCGAUUGACGUUACCCGCAGAAGAAGCACCGGCUAACUCCGUGCCAGCCGCCGCUGUAA